AAGACAAUGCUGAAUGAAGUCGUCCUUUUUGCUAUUUUUGGACCAAAAUGUAUUUUCGAUGCUUCAAAAAAUUUCAACGUACCCUCUGAUGUCACAUGGACUACUUUGAUGAUGUUUUUCUUACCUUUCUGGACAUGGACACACAGCUUCAAUGGAGGGACUAGCUCUCGGACUAUCUAAAAUAUAUUAAACUGUGUUCUGAAGAUAAAAGGAGGUCUUACAUGUUUGGAACAGCAUACACUCUAAAAAAUAAUUCAAGGGAUCUGUUACCACUACAUAAUUUAAUACAUUGUUGUAAAUGAAAAAUUCUAAAUUGUUAAUUUGAUUAAACCUUUUAAGUUGCCAGCAUUAUUUUAAUGAGUUGUCAUGACAGAAUAAUGUUGAUAAUUACAUCAACUUAAUAAUGUAUGUAAUUUAAACAUAAAUAUAUGUGUUGAGUAGUUUAAACCAAUAUUUAUGUUGUAGCAACCCAAUGCAAUUGGCUUGAUAACUUAAUUUUUCCACACCAUUUGAGUUCAGGAUUUCAAAGCUCCUCCCCCACUUAACGAGCAAGUAGCAAGUUCAGACAUGUUUUAGGCUGACCAGUAGGACAUGAAGGACGUUUCAAGGUGAGUAAUCUGAGUUUUAUUUCAUUUACAAAUAAAUUAUCUCCAUUUAACUAAAGGUUUACCUACACCUGGUAAUACAAUUGAUGUUAGCAGUGUAAUUUGACCAGAAUAGCAAUGGAUAAGAAUGUAAAAACGGUUUCAUUGAAAAAUAUUCUCAGCCAGAGAGAAAAUUUCAUUUAUGCUGUAAAUAGGAAAAUAUCUUGAUGCACAUUUUUAAAAAAUCUGUCGUCAUUCACACAGAUAGCAUUCAAGUUUUAAUGUAGGCAGUUUGUUAUUUAUUUAGACUAUCACACUAGAAUCAUUUAGAUUUGUCAAGUUGUUGUCAUUCACCUGUUCAGAUUAAAGUAUAUUUAUUUAGUGUUGGCACUUUCUCUUUAUUCUUUUUUCAUUUUUAUUAAAUAGCACAAAACAAUUGAAGUAUGGAGAGAUGUAGCUAUCCGCUGUCUUGUCUAUCUUGGAGAGUAAGAACAGGACCUUUUCAAGGAGUUUGCUGGCACACACGGGUUUGAGGAAGACAUUGAAAGGCAAGUGACGACAAUUGCCAUCAUCGGUGAUCAACCUACUUCAGGAUUUGACCACGGCAACCAUUGUGGUUGAGGGCAUCAAAAUCCUGAAUGGAAUGGAUAUCUCAAGGUGCUAUCCUCUGCUGAUGGGUAGAAUAUAUGAGUUACCCCAAGGAACUUAAAUAUACAUGUGAAGUGUUUCAGAAGCUGUUUCUUGAACUUGAUGGACUGAAACCCAGUGCAAAAGUAAUGUGUCUGAAGAACAGUAUUUUCUGAGAUGUCUACUUGUUCCAGAAGAUUUUUUUUUCCUGUAGGCUGAUCUUUGUGUUAUAUUUCAUACUGAGGUUAAUAUAUGAAUUUCAGUAGCAUUUAUAUAUGCUUGUUUGUGACAGUAGCAAUCUUAGAUGUUUUAAAAAUGGGGUUUACUGUGAAGAAAUAGUUUUAAAAUGUAAAGUUUUCAGAUUGUUUGACACUGUGGAAAUAUAUGCAAAUGCCAAUAUCUUUGCUGUGUUGGAAUUAAUUCACUGUGAUUGAAUAACUGUAUGCAUACAAAUGUUUUAAAGGCAAAUCUGUAGGGCCAGUUUGUAAUUUGUGGAGAGCACACAUUUUUGUUUUGUAAAUUGUGCUAAGUGCAAAAUUUUGAAACUCAAAUUUUGAAACUGCAGUCCAAAAUAAAAAUAAAAAGUUAACUAACAAAA